GGGACAUCAGGGGAGGCACGAGUUGGCCCAUAAGCCUGCGUUCGCGAGUCAUCAGUGUCGGACACGUAGUGGGAACGAGCAGGUCCCGAUGCACAAGUCACGGCAACCCUCGGCGGAGAUGAAGGCGGACUCCGACUGGCUCUGAUUUUUAAAAGCCCUUUUCAUUCAGGAGGUUGGUUGCCAGUGGUUAUCAAUAUGGCAGAGCCGUCAUCCCAAGCACCCACCGCUGCAAAAAUGGCGUCACUUAACCGGGUCCGAGCUUUGGCGAUGAUUUUCUUAACUGUCACCGGCUGUUGUGUCACCCCGACAAGUGGCAAGGAAGGGUCCGAGGAGACCGUCAUCAUAGGGCUCCGACUGGAGGACACGGACGACAUUUCCUUCAUGGAUAGGGGCUACCUGCGGGUGAGUGAGCGGUCUCGGGUAAAAUUAAGGGUGUACGGGCAGAACAUCAACAACGAGACCUGGUCCAAAAUUUCUUUCACGGAACAUGAGCGCAGCCGGACUGUAGGGAGCAUUGACAGCUCCUCGGGGGAUAACCAGAGCCAAGAGGACUGGUCCGGCUUGCAUCCCUGCGGUAUUAGGACUUCGGAUAUAAUUAUAUUGCCCAACAUCAUUCUGAAUCGAAAGACGUCCGGAAUAGUUGAAAUUGAGGUCAAACCUCUGCGAAAGACAGAGAGGAGUAAAGCGUAUUACCUUUGCAUCGCCACCGCAACACCGGCCGUAGCCGGGAUGCACGACCUGUGGACGGAGAACACCUGGAUCUACCACGACGGGGAUGACACCAAAGUGAUAGUGGUGGAGGAAAAAAAGUUUCUGCUGCCUUUCUGGCUCCAGGUUAUCUUCAUCUCCAUGUUGCUUUGCCUCUCGGGUAUGUUCAGCGGGUUGAACCUGGGGCUCAUGGCUCUGGACCCCAUGGAGCUCCAGAUAGUCCAGAACUGUGGCACGGAAAAGGAAAAGAAUUACGCCAAAAAAAUAGAGCCGGUCAGGAGCCAAGGGAAUUACUUGCUUUGCUCGCUUCUGCUUGGGAACGUGUUGGUGAACACCACGCUGACCAUCCUGCUGGAUGAUAUCGCCGGUUCGGGCUUGAUUGCGGUGGUCAUGUCCACCAUUGGAAUAGUCAUCUUUGGAGAGAUCGUGCCCCAGGCCAUCUGCUCCAGACACGGCCUCGCUGUCGGGGCCAACACCAUAUUCCUCACCAAGUUCUUCAUGCUGCUCACCUUCCCUGCUUCUUACCCGGUGAGCAAGCUGCUCGACUACCUUCUGGGACAGGAGAUAGGAACCGUGUACAACCGGGAGAAGCUUCUGGAGAUGCUGCGCGUCACGGACCCUUACAACGACCUGGUUAAGGAGGAGCUGAACAUCAUCCAGGGCGCGCUGGAGCUCAGGACUAAGACCGUGGAGGACGUGAUGACGCCGCUGAGAGAUUGCUUCAUGAUCCCCGGGGAUGGCACCCUCGACUUUAACACCAUGUCCGACCUCAUGAAGAGCGGCUACACGCGCAUCCCAGUCUUCGAGGGCGAGAGGUCAAACAUAGUGGAUCUGCUCUUUGUCAAGGACCUGGCGUUUGUGGACCCGGAUGAUUGCACCCCUCUCAAAACCAUCACAAAGUUUUACAGCCACCCGUUACAUUUUGUGUUCAAUGACACCAAGUUGGACGCAAUGCUGGAGGAGUUUAAAAAAGGAAAAUCCCACCUGGCCAUAGUUCAGAGGGUGAACAAUGAGGGUGAGGGAGACCCUUUCUAUGAAGUUCUGGGUAUUGUCACCCUGGAGGACGUUAUUGAAGAGAUCAUCAAGUCAGAGAUCCUGGACGAGACUGACUUGUACACUGACAACAAGACGAAGAAGAAAAUCACCCAUCGGGAAAGGAAGCAGGAUUUCUCGGCCUUCAAGCCUACCGACAAUGAAAUGAAGGUUAAAAUAUCACCUCAGCUUCUGCUGGCUACCCUGCGUUUCCUAGCAACAGAGGUCGAGCCGUUCGCACCGGCGCAAAUGUCAGAAAAGAUUCUGCUGCGCUUGCUGAAGCACCCCAACGUCAUUCAGGAGCUGAAAUAUGAUGAGAAGAACAAGCGGGCACCGGAGCACUACCUCUUCCACAGGAACAAGCCCGUUGAUUAUUUCAUCCUCAUAAUGCAGGGGAAAGUGGAGGUGGAGGCAGGAAAAGAGGGGAUGAAGUUUGAAGCGGGGCCGUUCUCCUUCUAUGGGAUGCUGGCUCUGACAGCCUCGCCAGUGCCUCUGUCCCUGUCUCGUACAUUUGUGGUCAGUAGGGCUGAAUCAUUAGCAGGAUCUCCAGAAAAUAAAUCUCCUCCACGGCCGUUCGGACUCAACCACUCAGACUCCUUGAACAGGAGUGACCGUAUCGACGCCAUCACCCCGACUCUCGGCAGCAGCAACAACCAGCUCAACUCCUUCCUGCAGAUCUACGUACCUGACUACUCAGUCAGAGCGCGCACAGACCUGCAGUUUAUAAAGGUAACACGCCAACAGUACCAGAACGCGGUAAUGGCGUCACGGAUGGACAAAACUCCCCAAUCGACAGACAGUGAGUUCACUAAGAUCGAGCUCACGCUGACGGAGCUGCACGAUGGAGUGGAGGCCCCCGCGGUCGUCACCACCACAGCCAGCACCACCCCUGCCAUGUCCGUAUCCGUGGCCAACGAGACUUCCUACCUGCUCAACCAGCAGCAGAACUGUGUGGGCCUCAGCAGGAGCAACCACAGCGCCCACAACGAGGGACCCAUCUAGGCCCCGCCGAGCCCGGUGGAGACCCCGACCCUCCACCCUGUCUCGUGGACACACGGAGCGGUGGCGUAGAUGGAGAUGAGGGAAAAUGGGGGAAGCGGAGGUGGGUGGAGUGAGGGUUCUGCUCCAACCAGUAGCCCCCGGUCAGUCAGUCAGUCAGUCAGUCAGUCAGUCAGUGGAACCCUUUCAUGGAGGGGCAGUGGGGAAGACGGGUGCUGCGUCACCCUGAACGCCCCAACCUAAACGCUGUCAGAAUCCCUGCUGUACUACACCCUCUUACAGAGGGUGCACUCGGACAGUACCUGUGACUGAGCUUCUAUUUUGGGACAAUCUGACACUUUCAUAGCGGUGACUUGGACUAGAGGACAACAGAGUGCAUGCAAACUCUGUCCCUUUCCCCUAAACGCAACCACACACACACACACACACACACACACACACACACACACACACACACACACACACACAUAACAUAACGCAACACUCGCUGUAUUUUCUCCUCAGGCCAAAGACUUUGGUCCCCCCUUCUAACACUGGACACAGACUGUUUUUGCUCACAUACACACAUAUUCAAACAGUCACAUUCCCAUAUACACACACAUUCGCACACAAACACGCGCACACACACACACACACACACACACACACACACACACACACACACACACACAAAUGCAGCUUCCCCACCCGUGAGUCUUUCAGGGAGGCUCAGUCGUUGUUGAUCCCAUCAGCGAGGACUCCAACCCAAACAAGCAGAGAGAACGGUUGGUCAAAGACUGCACCAAAAACCGCUUUGAAAGAAUCCGUUAAACCACGAACCAAGAAUGUUUUCCUGUAUUUAUUUAUUUUAUAAUAUUGUAUGUAUAUAUGUAUGCGUGGAGACAUGAUAUGACAUAAAGUGGCAUACGAGCAUGCACAAGCAUGUACACAAAGGUGUACGUGGGGCAAACAUGUCAUAUCAAAAAGGACAUGCUACAUAUAUGGAGACAAACAUCCAUUCAUGUAUAUGAGGUGGUGAGGGUCUUUUACAGAUACAGACCCCUGAAAACGGCACACAUGGACAAACAGCCUUUCCAUCUGCUCAGCCAUGAGGGGCGUAUCGGUUGUAUAACCAGACAGAAAGUACUUCUGCAUUGUUUGCAGCUGUGUUCGUUGUUGUUAAUGGUUCACUUGAAAGUGCUCCGAUGCAGCAGGCCCGCUCCUGCUCUGCAGGGACAAUCGCUCCAGAGGUACAGCCAGUGAACGAGGAUCAGAUUGUUAAGACUGUGCUUGGGACACUCGUACUCUGCUUCACAGACUUCAGUGCCUGACAGGAGAACAAGAGGCACGAUGACAGUACAAAAGCCCGGGAACAGGAAACACUGGUGACAGUCACAUCCGCUAGCUGUGACUGGGUUAUUUCAAUAUUCUGUUAUACACACAUUAUCUUUUUCCUCUCACACACACUUCAUCCUCGGCUGAACACAAGAUUAUCAACCUUCCAUUAUGUGAAUGCUUUGCAGGCCUGUGUUUAACUGGUCUUUUUGUCCAUCCCAAUGCUGCUAUUGUACCCAUGUGCUGUCCAUAAUGCAUCUUCUACCUUACGAACAACAUUCCCAUUGCCUCCUCCAGCUGGUGGUUUAAUAAAAAAGUGAAUGAUUAA